GGCUGGCGGAGGCUGGCUUUGGCCCUGGAGUCCUCAGAGAACCCCCCAGCAUCUCUGCCUGUGUAGUGGGGACUCCGAGUGGUGUGGGAAGAGAGGGGAGAGACCCAAGAGCGGGGCCGGCGGUUGGGAGGCAUCCCCACAGUGAAGGAUGCUUGAAGAAUCAGUCUCAGCUGGCCUGGAGCAGGAGCAGCUGGGGGAAGUCAAGCUGGAGGAGGAGGAGACUGUCAGCCCAGAGGACCCCAGGCGGCCAGAGUCCAGGCUGAGGCCCGAGGUGGCUCACCAGCUGUUCAGAUGCUUCCAGUAUCAGGAGGACAUGGGGCCACGGGCGUCCCUGAGCCGGCUCCGGGAGCUCUGCGGCCACUGGCUGCGGCCGGCUCUGCACACCAAGAAGCAGAUCCUGGAGCUGCUGGUGCUGGAGCAGUUCCUGAGUGUGCUGCCUCCGCACCUCCUGGGCCGCCUGCAGGGGCAGCCCCUCAGGGACGGGGAGGAGGUGGUCCUGCUGCUGGAGGGCAUCCACCGGGAGCCCAGCCAUGCGGGGCCGCUGGUGAGAGGGUGGCGCAGCGGGCUGAGCAGCACGCGGAUGAUGGGGACUUGAUCCCCUCAGUGAGGAAUCUCUGGAAACUCUACUUUCCCCC
rnacentral:sRNA from 1 species